AUUUGUUUGCUGUAUGUGUAUGUUAACAGUCACUGAUCAUUGUUUUUAAAGUGAUUUUUGUCAGUUUUUAGGCAUGAGCAAAGAAAGGACAAGGAGGUACCGGGAAAGGUUAGCGCAGGAUGAACCCAGGCAUGAGGAGAUCCUUAGGGAGAGAAGGAGAAAAUAUCAAGAAAAGAAAGCUAAAGGAGAAAUUCAACCACGAAAUAUAACCAGCCUCCCAAAACAUAAGCGAGCAAAGCUUCGUGAGGAAUGGAAGAAGACAAAGGCAAGGAACAAGAAGAAGGAGGAGGAUCUGGCAGCCAUUUUGGAUAUUACUCCCCCAUCACCCGAAGCACUUGAUGUGUCCUUUAGUCCAGUUAAUCUUUCUCCUGCUCAUGGUUCUAUUUCCCCAAAUCCAAGUCCCCCCGAAAGGGUUUGUCCACACAAGUUGACAGCAAAAAUUAAGAGGCUGGAAAGAGAAAACAAGGAGCUAAAAGCAAUGCUCGAUGGCAUGAAAAAAGCCAAUAGUAAAAUGAGGGUUCAAAAGCAUCGCUGGAAUAAAGCUAAGAAAGCACGUCAACCUACCCUCAGAUCUUCAACGAAAAGAGCUGCGACACAAAAAAAACAGCAAGUCACCAACUUUCUUUCCAGGGAUGAAAACAGCAGGCUCUUGGCAGGGAAAAGAGAUACAGUGGGCCGGAAAAACAACAAAAUUCAGCGGCGGGUUUUGACCAAAACCAUGAGUGAACUACACUCUGAAUACAACCAAGAAUCUAGCUUCACAAUGCAAAUGUCGUACCGCCAGUUUGCUCGCUACAGGCCCAAGCACAUAACAGAGACCAGGCCAACAGAUAGAAAUACCUGUGCAUGCUACCAGCAUGAAAACAUGCGCCUACUGAUUGACUCUUUGGUUUUUAAAGGCAUGAUUUCAACCAAAAGCCUGUCUAAUCUUCUUUCCUCCAUUACUUGUAACACAGAGGAACAAAAAUGUAUGUACAGGCAGUGCACCAACUGCUGUUUUGAUGAGGUGCGUCUCAACUCACACAAUCCUGAUGAAUUCGCUAGGUGGGAGCAGUGGGAGCGGGUGAAGGUGACUGUAGGGGAAAAGGUAUUCACAAACUGGGUUAAAAAAGGGGUUGAGGGAACACUGAGAAAGCUGGCAGAAACCUUCCAGCGUGACCUGGAGUCAGUUGCAUCCCAUCAAUUCAAUUGGAUGCACCAAUCAGCCAAAAUGAGGGAGUUAAAGGAGAAAUUGCAAGUAAAUGAUUUGGUGUUGCACGUUGAUUUGUCUGAAAAUUAUGGAUGCAAACUGAACACAGAAAUUCAAUCUUUCCACUUUGGUGGAAAUAGAAACCAAGUAACCAUACAUACAGUGGUUGCCUACACCAAAACGGCCAUUCAGAGCUUUGCAACCAUCUCAAAAUCUCUGAGGCAUGAUGAGCGUGCUGUAUGGGCUCACUUACAGCCAGUCAUUGAAGACCUCCAAAUGCAGCAUGACAAACAGUUGGAGUCACUCCACCUCAUCAGUGAUGGUCCUGUGACACAGUAUCGCAACAAGGCAAAUUGUUUCCUAAUGAGUAUGCUGCCAUUUACCUGGGGGUUCCAGUGUCUCACAUGGAAUUACAGUGAACGGGGCCACGGAAAAGGAGCUCCUGAUGGGGUUGGAGCUUGUGUGAAGCGGAUGGCAGAUCAGGCUGUCCAAAGGGGAGCUGAUUUGCAAACUGCAGAGGCCCUCUUUGACUUCUUGUCCAGCAAAGAUGAGAUGAAAAUCCAAAUGAAAUGGAUUGAGGAAAAGGACAUAGAAGAAUUUGACAAACUGCUCCCUCCUGUGCUCCCUGCUGUGAAAGGCAUACUAGGUACACACCAGAUUUUCUCUACAACACCAGGGGAGGUGUUUCAUAGGGCAGUAAGUUGCUUCUGCACCUACCCAAAAGUGUGUGGCUGCUUCAAGGUUACAAAAGUCACAAUGGCUGGUGACAGUCCGGCUCAAGAGAUUACCCCUAUCCCUACCCCGUCCUUCUUGGAUGAAGAUGUUGAAAGUGACCAAGACCAAGUGUUUGAAGUGGGAAAGUUCAUCAUAGUAAAAUAUGAUGAGAAGCGAUACGUGGGCCAAGUGUUGAAUAUUCAGGGAGAGGAAAUACAGGCAAACUGUAUGGUUCAACAUGGAAACAAGAAUGCUUUCCAGUGGCCUGACAAAGAAGAUACCAUUUACUACUCGCGGAGUGACAUAAUUGGUAAGAUUUCAGAGCCUGAGCCCCAUGGUCAAGUUGCGAAGUUAACGAACAUGGACUGGCUCAUGUUCAACACAUAAGUUUACCAUUUCUCCUACGAAAUAAUUACUACAUUUUUUUUUUUUAAAUAUUGGCUCUAACAGCUUGUCAUGUUUAUGGUCUGUUUAACACUCUUUUGUUAGUGACGACUCCAGAAUGUAAAUUUCUCUUGUUCACUGGAAUCUUUGUUCAAAGAGCUGAAUUGAUGAUUUUAACAUGCUUGUAAUUAUUUUAGCAUGAUUUUAAUGACUUUCUCCUGAGAAACGAUAUUUGUUUAGUCUUUUAAGUUAAAAAUAGAAAUGAAUGGUCUNACCUCAGAACGUUCAUCAGCCAAUCAGAUUCAAGCAUUCAGUGGCCCCGUAGUAUAAAUUUUAUUAAUAUGCAUUGGAGUGAUUCUGAGUAUUAAAAAAAAAAUCUAAUUGUCUCUAAACAUUCAUGUACAAAAUUAUUCAACCCCCAAAAGUCAAAUUUGGUGCAGAAUCAUUUAUUCUUUAUAACCUCAAAUAAAUACUGGCUUGUAAGAGGUCUGUCA
ensembl:lncRNA